GACGAACGCUGGCGGCGUGCUUAACACAUGCAAGUCGAACGGAAAGGCCCUGCUUUUGUGGGGUGCUCGAGUGGCGAACGGGUGAGUAACACGUGAGUAACCUGCCCUUGACUUUGGGAUAACUUCAGGAAACUGGGGCUAAUACCGGAUAGGAGCUCCUGCUGCAUGGUGGGGGUUGGAAAGUUUCGGCGGUUGGGGAUGGACUCGCGGCUUAUCAGCUUGUUGGUGGGGUAGUGGCUUACCAAGGCUUUGACGGGUAGCCGGCCUGAGAGGGUGACCGGCCACAUUGGGACUGAGAUACGGCCCAGACUCCUACGGGAGGCAGCAGUGGGGAAUAUUGCACAAUGGGCGGAAGCCUGAUGCAGCAACGCCGCGUGCGGGAUGACGGCCUUCGGGUUGUAAACCGCUUUCGCCUGUGACGAAGCGUGAGUGACGGUAAUGGGUAAAGAAGCACCGGCUAACUACGUGCCAGCAGCCGCGGUGAUACGUAGGGUGCGAGCGUUGUCCGGAUUUAUUGGGCGUAAAGGGCUCGUAGGUGGUUGAUCGCGUCGGAAGUGUAAUCUUGGGGCUUAACCCUGAGCGUGCUUUCGAUACGGGUUGACUUGAGGAAGGUAGGGGAGAAUGGAAUUCCUGGUGGAGCGGUGGAAUGCGCAGAUAUCAGGAGGAACACCAGUGGCGAAGGCGGUUCUCUGGGCCUUUCCUGACGCUGAGGAGCGAAAGCGUGGGGAGCGAACAGGCUUAGAUACCCUGGUAGUCCACGCUGUAAACGGUGGGUACUAGGUGUGGGGUCCAUUCCACGGGUUCCGUGCCGUAGCUAACGCUUUAAGUACCCCGCCUGGGGAGUACGGCCGCAGGGCUAAAACUCAAAGGAAUUGACGGGGCCCCGCACAAGCGGCGGAGCAUGCGGAUUAAUUCGAUGCAACGCGUAGAACCUUACCUGGGUUUGACAUGGAUCGGGAGUGCUCAGAGAUGGGUGUGCCUCUUUUGGGGUCGGUUCACAGGUGGUGCAUGCCUGUCGUCAGCUCGUGUCGUGAGAUGUUGGGUUAAGUCCCGCAACGAGCGCAACCCUUGUUCACUGUUGCCAGCACGUUAUGGUGGGGACUCAGUGGAGACCGCCGGGGUCAACUCGGAGGAAGGUGGGGAUGACGUCAAGUCCUCAUGCCCCUUAUGUCCAGGGCUUCACGCAUGCUACAAUGGCUGGUACAGAGAGUGGCGAGCCUGUGAGGGUGAGCGAAUCUCGGAAAGCCGGUCUCAGUUCGGAUUGGGGUCUGCAACUCGACCUCAUGAAGUCGGAGUCGCUAGUAAUCGCAGAUCAGCAACGCUGCGGUGAAUACGUUCCCGGG
rnacentral:rRNA from 1 species